UACGUAGGGGGCAAGCGUUAUCCGGAUUUAUUGGGCGUAAAGAGCUCGUAGGCGGCCGUUCGCGUCGGAUGUGAAAGCUCAGGGCUCAACCCUGAGACGCCAUUCGAUACGGGACGGCUAGAGGUAGGUAGGGGAAAGUGGAAUUCCAGGUGUAGCGGUGAAAUGCGUAGAUAUCUGGAGGAACACCAGCGGCGAAGGCGGCGCUCUGGGCUGGAACUGACGCUGAGGAGCGAAAGCGUGGGGAGCGAACAGG
rnacentral:rRNA from 1 species